UGCCCGGCAAUUCCUAUCCCUACCUCCUCGUGGUACUGACCGGUACAGCCUUACGGAAGAUCGGGUAACUUUGGUCGUAUACUGACAGGGAAGG
rnacentral:ribozyme from 1 species